rnacentral:rRNA from 1 species
CCUACGGGAGGCAGCAGUGGGGAAUAUUGGACAAUGGGGGCAACCCUGAUCCAGCGAUGCCGCGUGUGUGAAGAAGGCCUGAGGGUUGUAAAGCACUUUCAGUGGGGAGGAGUGGUAUUCAGGUUAAGAGCUAGAGUAUUGGACGUUACCCACAGAAGAAGCACCGGCUAACUCCGUGCCAGCAGCCGCGGUAAUACGGGGGGUGCAAGCGUUAAUCGGAAUUACUGGGCGUAAAGGGUGCGUAGGUGGUUAUGUAAGUUAGCUGUGAAAUUCCUGGGCUUAACCUAGGGGGGGCAGCUAAGACUGUGUGACUAGAGUAUGGGAGAGGGUAGUGGAAUUUCCGGUGUAGCGGUGAAAUGCGUAGAGAUCGGAAGGAACACCAGUGGCGAAGGCGGCUACCUGGCCUAAUACUGACACUGAAGCACGAAAGCGUGGGGAGCAAACAGGAUUAAGAUACCCUGGUAGUCCACGCUGUAAACGAUGUCAACUAGCUGUUGGCCUUAUAAAAGAGGUUAGUGGCGCAGCAAACGCGAUAAGUUGACCGCCUGGGGAGUACGGUCGCAAAGAUUAAAACUCAAAAGGAAUGACCGGGNGGGGGKGG